CGAGUGGCGAACGGGUGAGUAACGCGUGAGGAACCUACCUCAAAGAGGGGGACGAACAGUUGGAAACGACUGCUAAUACCGCAUAAGCCCACGGGUCAGCAUCGACCAGGGGGAAAAGGAGCAAUCCGCUUUGAGAUGGCCUCGCGUCCGAUUAGCUAGUUGGUGAGGUAAUGGCCCACCAAGGCAACGAUCGGUAGCCGGACUGAGAGGUUGAACGGCCACAUUGGGACUGAGACACGGCCCAGACUCCUACGGGAGGCAGCAUG
rnacentral:rRNA from 1 species